CGUCAAGUCAUCAUGGCCCUUACGGCCUGGGCUACACACGUGCUACAAUGGUCGGUACAAAGGGUUGCCAAGCCGCGAGGUGGAGCUAAUCCCAUAAAACCGAUCGUAGUCCGGAUCGCAGUCUGCAACUCGACUGCGUGAAGUCGGAAUCGCUAGUAAUCGUGAAAUCAGAAUGUCACGGUGAAUACGUUCCCGGGCCUU
rnacentral:rRNA from 1 species